CAUUUUGUGCAGUGGUAGUAUCCUAGCCAAUGAGGUUUAUUUGAGGCGUGAUUAUUGCUAAUUAAAAAUGAGUUUCUUAAAGACAUUUUGGGAGAAAAAUAUGAAUAAGUGUUAGAAACUAGAUUUUGUUUCCUUACAUGGCUUACUUAUAACACACUAG
rnacentral:snRNA from 11 species